CAUAGCUGAGUGCCCAGCCCACACCCCGCAGGUGGGGCAGUGCUGGUCCUGGGUGCCUGGUGGGCUCAUCCUCCUUCCUAAGAUGCCGCCUCUCCACUCUUAGGGCUCUUUCAAGUGUGGUCCCUGCCGCCUGGGUUUCCUGGGCAACCAGAGCCAGGGCUGCCUCCCAGCCCGGACCUGCCACAGCCCAGCCCAUAGUCCCUGCCACAUCCAUGCUCACUGUCUCUUUGAACGCAAUGGUGCAGUGUCCUGCCAGUGUAACGUGGGCUGGGCUGGGAAUGGGAACGUAUGUGGGACUGACACAGACAUCGAUGGCUAUCCAGACCAAGCACUGCCCUGCAUGGACAACAACAAACACUGCAAACAGGACAACUGCCUUUUGACACCCAACUCUGGGCAGGAAGAUGCUGAUAAUGAUGGUGUGGGGGACCAGUGUGAUGACGAUGCUGAUGGGGAUGGGAUCAAGAAUGUUGAGGUGACUCCCAGAUUGCCCUGCCCCUUGAAGCUCCUCUCCUCUCCUCCUGUCCUCUCAGUGCCUCUCUUACCUCAUUUGGCAGCUCUCUAGGAAGGGCCCAAUACUCCAAAUCAGAGAGGCAAAAACCUCAUGCCCAGGACAAGGAAGCUGGGUGGGUGGGACUGUGUUGAGUAGUUUGUCCAUCACAAGAGUG